GGGUUGUGAGGUUAAGCGACUAAGCGUACACGGUGGAUGCCCUGGCAGUCAGAGGCGAUGAAGGACGUGCUAAUCUGCGAUAAGCGCCGGUAAGGUGAUAUGAACCGUUAUAACCGGCGAUUUCCGAAUGGGGAAACCCAGUGUGAUUCGUCACACUAUCAUUAACUGAAUCCAUAGGUUAAUGAGGCGAACCGGGGGAACUGAAACAUCUAAGUACCCCGAGGAAAAGAAAUCAACCGAGAUUCCCCCAGUAGCGGCGAGCGAACGGGGAGGAGCCCAGAGCCUGAAUCAGCAUGUGUGUUAGUGGAAGCGUCUGGAAAGGCGCGCGAUACAGGGUGACAGCCCCGUACACAAAAGCGCAUGUGCUGUGAGCUCGAUGAGUAGGGCGGGACACGUGGUAUCCUGUCUGAAUAUGGGGGGACCAUCCUCCAAGGCUAAAUACUCCUGACUGACCGAUAGUGAACCAGUACCGUGAGGGAAAGGCGAAAAGAACCCCGGCGAGGGGAGUGAAAAAGAACCUGAAACCGUGUACGUACAAGCAGUGGGAGCCCCACCACUAAGCCAGUGGUGAACUCCACAUACGCAUCCUUUGCUGAGGAUACGGUUAACGGAGCGAAAGCGACGUUCAACCUCAAAAGAAGCAGAGGGGGCUUAGUGGUGGGGUGACUGCGUACCUUUUGUAUAAUGGGUCAGCGACUUAUAUUCUGUAGCAAGGUUAACCGUAUAGGGGAGCCGGAGGGAAACCGAGUCUUAAUUGGGCGUUAAGUUGCAGGGUAUAGACCCGAAACCCGGUGAUCUAGCCAUGGGCAGGUUGAAGGUUGGGUAACACUAACUGGAGGACCGAACCGACUAAUGUUGAAAAAUUAGCGGAUGACCUGUGGCUGGGGGUGAAAGGCCAAUCAAACCGGGAGAUAGCUGGUUCUCCCCGAAAGCUAUUUAGGUAGCGCCUCGUGAAUUCAUCUUCGGGGGUAGAGCACUGUUUCGGCUAGGGGGUCAUCCCGACUUACCAACCCGAUGCAAACUGCGAAUACCGGAGAAUGUUAUCACGGGAGACACACGGCGGGUGCUAACGUCCGUCGUGAAGAGGGAAACAACCCAGACCGCCAGCUAAGGUCCCAAAGUCAUGGUUAAGUGGGAAACGAUGUGGGAAGGCCCAGACAGCCAGGAUGUUGGCUUAGAAGCAGCCAUCAUUUAAAGAAAGCGUAAUAGCUCACUGGUCGAGUCGGCCUGCGCGGAAGAUGUAACGGGGCUAAACCAUGCACCGAAGCUGCGGCAGCGAACGUAUCACUUAAAGCGAUUCAGCGGGUUACGAUUGACGGAGCGAAGCGACGUCAAAGCGUAUACAAAGUCGAGUCGGUUUAAGGAUACGUUCGUUGGGUAGGGGAGCGUUCUGUAAGCCUGUGAAGGUGUGUCGUGAGGC
rnacentral:rRNA from 1 species